rnacentral:misc_RNA from 1 species
GUUCUUUACUUGUUUUGUUAUGCAUACUUCACUUUGGUUAUAAAAAGGGCCAGUUUCACAGGUAGUAAGAAGUGAGGGUUCGGCAGGCUCUGAACGAGCCGCCUAUUCACUAAUGAUCCUUCCGCAGGUUCACCUACGGAAA